rnacentral:rRNA from 1 species
GCCCGCUCAGAAACUUAAAGGAAUUGACGGGGCCCGCACAAGCGGAGGAACAUGUGGUUUAAUUCGAUGAUACGCGAGGAACUUACCCGGGCUUGAAUUGCAGAGGAACAUAGUUGAAAGAUUAUGGCCGCAAGGUCUCUGUGAAGGUGCUGCAUGGUUGUCGUCAGCUCGUGCCGUGAGGUGUCGGCUUAAGUGCCAUAACGAGCGCAACCCUUAUCAUUAGUUACUAACAGGUCAUGCUGAGGACUCUAGUGAGACUGCCGUCGUAAGAUGUGAGGAAGGUGGGGAUGACGUCAAAUCAGCACGGCCCUUACGUCCGGGGCUACACACGUGUUACAAUGGGGGGUACAGAGGGCAGCUACCGGGCGACCGGAUGCCAAUCCCAAAAACCUCUCUCAGUUCGGAUCGAAGUCUGCAACCCGACUUCGUGAAGCUGGAUUCGCUAGUAAUCGCGCAUCAGCCACGGCGCGGUGAAUACGUUCCCGGGCCUU